AGACUGGAGAUAAACGCUUGAGACACCAAGUUCAGGAUGGAGAACAAAAGGCAAAAGACUCUAAUCACUCGAGAGCCUCCGAUCGUCUAUAUUAUUAUGGCACUCUACAGGCCAGAGGGUUCACCUGAUAUCUAGAUAAUGCACGUAGAGCGACAGAAUUGAUAAAUGUAAAGGUGUGGCCAUGAGGUGCACUCAUCUUUCUUAGUUGCGGGGAGAAGAAGCUAUAAGCCAAGAACUUUGGAGUAGAAAGCCUCUGGCAGCUCCGGACCAACAUAUCUCGAGGUACCUUGUUCAUGAAAAGAACCGCACAACUGGAGGAAGGGCAGAAAGUUUGUAUGGUUUGUGUCUUGUUUCAGUGCUUGUAUGUUCUUCAUGUUUGUGAAUCCCAUAAAAUUCAGUCAGAAAAUGUUCAGUAGGUGUAACAUGUCAAAUGUAUAUCUCAAUUAGUAAAUGUCUUGCCUCAAGAUAGGGCA